UGAGGAAUGUUGCGCAAUGGGCGAAAGCCUGACGCAGCAACGCCGCGUGAGGGACGAAGGCCUUCGGGUCGUAAACCUCUUUUCUGGGGAAAGAGCAAGGACGGUACCUCAGGAAUAAGUCUCGGCUAACUACGUGCCAGCAGCCGCGGUAAAACGUAGGAGGCGAGCGUUAUCCGGAUUUACUGGGCGUAUAGCGCGCGCAGGCGGUUUCGUGAGUCGGACAUGAAAGCUCCUGGCUUAACUGGGAGAGGCUGUUCGAUACUGCGGGACUUGAGGUUGGGAGAGGGGUGUGGAAUUCCCGGUGUAGUGGUGGAAUGCGUAGAUAUCGGGAGGAACACCUGUGGCGAAAGCGGCACCCUGGCCCACACCUGACGCUGAGGUGCGAAAGCGUGGGGAGCAAACAG
rnacentral:rRNA from 1 species